rnacentral:rRNA from 1 species
AUACGGAGGGUGCGAGCGUUGUUCGGAAUUAUUGGGCGUAAAGAGCAUGUAGGCGGUCUGUUAAGUCUGGUGUGAAAGCCCGGGGCUCAACCCCGGAAGUGCAUUGGAUACUGGCAGACUUGAGUAUGGGAGAGGAAAGCGGAAUCCCGAGUGUAGGAGUGAAAUCCGUAGAUAUUCGGAGGAACACCAGUGGCGAAGGCGGCUUUCUGGACCAAUACUGACGCUGAGAUGCGAAAGCGUGGGGAGCAAACAGGAUUAGAAACCCCUGUAGUCC